GCCAGCAGCUAUAUCAUUCCGCAGUACUGGCAGCCCACUGGAGCUCAGCAGGUGUGAGCCUGGCCAGUACCUGGAUGGGAGACCCCCUGGGAAAGCUAAGGUUGCUGCUGGAA
rnacentral:rRNA from 1 species